GGCAGUUCUCAGGUGACAUACCCUGGAAUCAGGCUCCCUCCUCUCUGGUUCUGGAAUGCAUCACCUGAGAACCUCA
rfam:Myotis brandtii contig228932, whole genome shotgun sequence.